rnacentral:lncRNA from 1 species
UCCCUGGCUGAGUCCCAGCCCCUGGACACCUCCAGCUGCUGGAGCCGUCCCAGGAGUCAGCGGUUCAGCGGGCAGCCUCCCGACCCCGUGCAGAGUAACAGCUCCCGGGGGUGAAACAUGCCGUGUCUGGGCUAGCACGUUGUCUGCACCCAGGAGAGGAGGAUCCAUCGGGCUGAGGGCGACGCCCCGCCGUGGUGGCAGCAGCACCUGGACUCGUCCAGACUCCCCAGAGACACCCCUCCCCACAAGCAGCUGGGCCCCCACCCACAGCUCAUUGCUGGUCCAGAACCUGGUCUCCCACACAGGAGAGAAGCAAAGGCCCAGUGGGAGAGGAUGCACAGGUCUCGGGCACAAAGCUGUAGAGGCUUUGGGGAACUUUCCAUCUGCGACUGUCAUCAACAGUGCUGCAGGCACAUUCUGCUACCCAGCUGGUGACCAGGUGCAUUUCUGUUGGACAUGCACCUAGAAGUGGUGUCGCUGGUCAAGGACAGCUUGGGACCAGCUUCAGUGGUCAGGGCCACGUGGUUUUCCAAAGUUCCAACACACCAUCUCACCAGCCAGCAAAGACCAGCUGCUCCACGUUCCCACCAAUCUGGGUGUUUUCCAGCAUUGCCACGGAAGCCGUUGGGCCAGGCGUGCAGGGCAUCGACCUGCAUUUCAAUUUGUGUUUGCAUUUUCCUGGUGACGAGUGAAGAUAAGCACCUUCUCAUGUGUUUAUUGGAUUCUGGGUUUCCUUUCUGCAUGUG